rnacentral:rRNA from 1 species
AUUGAACGCUGGCGGCAGGCCUAACACAUGCAAGUCGAGCGGAUGAGGAAAGCUUGCUUUUCGAUUCAGCGGCGGACGGGUGAGUAAUGCCUAGGAAUCUGCCUGUUAGUGGGGGAUAACUCGGGGAAACUCGGGCUAAUACCGCAUACGUCCUACGGGAGAAAGUGGGGGAUCUUCGGACCUCACGCUAACAGAUGAGCCUAGGUCGGAUUAGCUAGUAGGUGAGGUAAUGGCUCACCUAGGCGACGAUCCGUAACUGGUCUGAGAGGAUGGUCAGUCACACUGGAACUGAGACACGGUCCAGACUCCUACGGGAGGCAGCAGUGGGGAAUAUUGGACAAUGGGCGAAAGCCUGAUCCAGCCAUGCCGCGUGUGUGAAGAAGGUCUUCGGAUUGUAGAGCACUUUAAGUUGGGAGGAAGGGUAUUCACCUAAUACGUGGGUACUUUGACGUUACCAACAGAAUAAGCACCGGCUAACUCUGUGCCAGCAGCCGCGGUAAAAC